UACGUUUGAAGGGAGUCGCGGUUGAUUAUGCCCUAGAAUGGAUUAUUUCAGAAGGAAUAGCAACAAAACAUUGUGUCAAUAGCAUGAUUGUGCCAUUCUGACUUGGACCUGUGGCUUCUGAUUCAGCCUGAGAGAUAAUUCACCAGUGAUUUAUAGGGGAGGCACUGUGUUGGACCCUACAAUAAAGGAGUAACUGCCA